GUAGUGCCAAGCUCCCAAGAAGAAGUCAUACCAUUAGUCACGGAAUCCUUUUGAAUCAAUCUAUGCAUCAUUUGAAAAGGGCAUCGAUCCCAGCACUGUGGAGCCUCCUAGCAAGUUUUUACCAUCUUCUCCUAACACUGACCAUUGCGAUGAUACAUCUGAAGAGGAAGAAGAGAGCUGUGCAAGAAUAUUUAGUCUGUUAAUAUUUUCACUCACUCGUGAACUUCUUGGUGAAAUAUAUACCUUGCAGCGUACGCCAGCCCCACCUCGCUGGAUAAAACAGUCUUUACCACAUUCUCCUCUACUGAUGAUUGCUUAUACUAAAUCAAAGGGAACUCUGAUGAAUCAUGUGAUUGAUAAUGUCAGAUGUUUAUUUGGAUGGAAGAUCCCAGUGGGAAAGGAGUCACUUAUGCUUCGAUGGGCAAGAAAGCACAGAGAUCUUGUUGAUCAGGUGCUGGUGAAAGAGCUGCAGGCAGAGGAAGCGAGCUGGACGUGUUACGACGAGGAUGAAGCUUUUGUGAAGUUUCGUGCUGCAGAUGAAAUCUUCACAAGUCUUUUAGAUGAAACUAUCUCACUCUUCUCGAAAAUCAUAGAGAAGAAGAUGGCAUUUACUUGAGCAUGUUGUUGUAAAUGUUCAAAAAUUUUAGAUUGUUGCAUCAAACGUCUUGAUUACUAUAGGCAUUCCUCAUAUGGCUUUUAUUUAAUAAUAAAUUAUCAUAAAAUGCAUUACAGUACAAUACUUAUGGUUCGAUUUUAGAUACUCAAACAAAAAUGCCUUUUUUAUAAAUAUACUACAAUCAUUUUAGUUAACUGCAGAAUCAUAUUUUUAUGUGAUAGCUUGAAUAUUAACUUAACUUGUAGGUAGGGCUUCGUUUCAUUUCUUUAGUUACUCAAGUCUUUGAUAGUGGUCUGUUUAUAGAGUGUUAUCAUAGUCAUCCUCAUAACUCGUGGUUAAAUACAAUUUUGAUAAAGUCCCAUAAAUGUGGACACUGCAUUUACAACGAAUUAGAUGCCACUUCUCUUUUAUAGCGUCAAGUGGUUUUUUUAACGUUUAUAACACCAUUUUUUUUUAUCAUCAUGUUUUAUCAAACUAGUCAGUUAUUCCCACAGUUUUCAUCCCAUGCACUGCAGUCUGUGAUAUUUCAAGUGUCAAAAUGUGUUGUGAUAUGUCGUAAGUAUAGGUUCUUGUUAUUCCUGCACUUAUAGGAAGUUUUAAUUUUUUUUUAUUAAUUCAGGGAACACUUUUCCAUUUCACUCAGUAAUAACAAGGUUAAUUAUUGGGACUCAUUUUAGUACUUAAGUUUUGUGUGUUCAAACCUUUUGUUCAGGGAAAAUAAAUAUUUUG